CACGUAGGGCGCGAGCGUUGUCCGGAAUUAUUGGGCGUAAAGAGCUCGUAGGCGGCCUGUUGCGUCCGCUGUGAAAGCCCGGGGCUUAACCCCGGGUCGGCAGUGGAUACGGGCAGGCUUGAGUGCGGCAGAGGAGACUGGAAUUCCUGGUGUAGCAGUGAAAUGCGUAGAUAUCAGGAGGAAUACCGAUGGCGAAGGCAGGUCUCUGGGCUGACACUGACGCUCAUGCACGAA
rnacentral:rRNA from 1 species